GAUGCAAGCAGUGGGCGGGCUCUUGGGAGGAGUUAUGCAAAUAUCAAAAUGCGUUGAUGGAUGGAUGUGAGUCUGGAGGAAUGGGCGUUCCUAGGCAGGCUGACAUGACACUAGAGCCU